rnacentral:rRNA from 1 species
CCCCUAGAUGUUCUGGGCCGCACGCGCGCUACACUGACCAGUGCAACAAGCAUCCGUCCUUGGCCGACAGGCUCGGGCAAUCUUUGAACGCUGUUCGUGAUUGGGAUAGACCUUUGCAAUUAUGGGUCUUCAACGAGGAAUUCCUAGUAAACGCAAGUCAUCAGCUUGCAUUGAUUACGUCCCUGCCCUUUGUACACACCGCCCGUCGCACCUACCGAUUGAAUGGUCCGGUGAAAUCUCGGGACGGCGGCUUGGUCGCUUGCGUCCGACUGCUGAAACUUGAUUAAACCAUAUCAUUUAGAGGAAGGUGAAGUCGUANCA